GAGACCUCCAUCAUGGCCACCGCUGACCAGCUGCUGGAGCUGAUGUUCUCCUGGAUCGAGCAGAGGGAGAGCUGUGCAGAGCAGCUGAGGAAACUGGCCCAGGAGCUGGAGUCACGCAGAAAGAAAUGUAAUAUCAGUGAAUGUGUUGGAAGCACAGUGGCAGUGGCUGGAUCUGCAUGUAUGAUCGCAGCCGGUGUGGCCACUUUGUUCACCGGCGGUGCAGCUGCUCCACUUUUAGGGGUGGCAGGAGCAGUGUGUACAGGUGCAGGUGCCACUGUAUCUGUGGGUACUAAAAUCAUUGAGGGCUUCAUAUCCAGUGACACCAUUAAAGAGGCGCAAGAGAUAGAAAAGAAGAGCAACGAGGUUGCAGAAGAAAUACAGGAACUGUUUGAACAACUAAAGGUGGAGAGUUCCUCCACAGACCCAAAUAAACAGGACCGACACGGUAUGACUGAAAUUCUGAAAGCUAUAGCCAGACGAAGUGGACUAAAGGGGAGGAUCCGGAUCCGCAGGCUUGAUAAAGAGCUACAGAUUCUAUUCGACAAAGAACAGUCAAACGAGAGGCUCAACCAGACCUUAUUAAACCCUGAAGUGAUAGUUGCACUUGGUGGAAUUUUAGCAUUUUUUGCACUUCAGCUUCGUGGAAAAACAUUGAAACGUUUCUUGGCUAAAGGAGCUGAGCAACUGAUCAAACAUACGUGUAAAGGUAGUGCUCUAGGAACUGACCAGUUAAUCAAAACUGGUGCCAAGGGAGCUAAAAAAAUUAUCAAACAAAUGUCUUCAAAAGCCCUAAAAGGAGGUGUCAUGGUAAUACCAAUAUAUAUUGUUUGAUAAUCACACAAAAUGAUCUUUAUAUUACUACACAUCACACUUUUAUUAUUCAUGAUUGAUAAUUAUUUCUUUAUUGUCUUAUAAUAUUGAAAAUUAUCCAUAUUCAUAUCAUCAGGUUGUAGGAGGAGUUGUUGGACUGGCAUUUGAACUUCCUGAGGCGAUUGACAUCUGGACAGACCUGAUCAAGAACAAUCAUGUGACUGAAGCGAGCCAAUCACUGAGAGAUACAGCUGAUGCCAUUCUAGAGAUCACCGGGACGCUGGGGGAACAGUUCGACAUAAUCGAGCAAAUGUUUGACGAGAUGGUGAAACGUCACAAGGAAAAGGCUUCCAGAUGGAAAAGACUGAUGUGCUGCUUGUGCUGCUGCUCUGCAGAAUGAGGCCAGACCAGGUAACCAGAGAAUGACAGAACAGGCCCCCGAAUCUGGCCUAGCAGCAACACAACCAGAGGCCACAGCAGAGACGACCGCCACAGAUUGUGACUUCUGAACAUUUAGAAUGAUGUAUUACUUGGUAAAUAUAUUUGUUCUUCAUUUAAAGGUUAUAUAAAAUGUACAGCUGUGCAAAGAUUAUGGAAAGGAUCCCUGCAGAGAUAGACCUUUUGUUUAACCAGAAACAGACGUAAUGUUGCUUGUUAUUUACUUCGAAUGCAAUUAUUUUCACUGUGGAAGCAACCUGACAGACACUCUGCAUCAAGCUUCGUUAUUUAUUGAUUUAACUGUAUUUAUGGGGAAGUUAAUGUUAGGAUUAUGAAAAUAUGUGUUUGUCAGGAAACUGUAAAUAUAUUUCAUUUGAUGUCUUUGAACAAAUGACCAGAGCAACUUCAAUCAGUCCCUGAGUGUAAUCUGCUGCUCAAACACCAGAUGGCAGCAGAGAUCAGUCAGAGUCAAUCAAUACAGCUGUUAAAGUUCCUGAACUUGGAGAGACAGUGAUACCUGUUGAGGGCAUUUGGUUAUUAAUUUUGUCUCUAAUAGUAAUAAUUUUAUUAUAAA